AACGAACGCUGGCGGCAUGCCUAACACAUGCAAGUCGAACGAGACCUUCGGGUCUAGUGGCGCACGGGUGCGUAACGCGUGGGAACCUGCCCUUAGGUUCGGAAUAACUCCCCGAAAGGGGUGCUAAUACCGGAUAAUGUCUUCGGACCAAAGAUUUAUCGCCUUUGGAUGGGCCCGCGUUGGAUUAGCUAGUUGGUAGGGUAAAAGCCUACCAAGGCGACGAUCCAUAGCUGGUCUGAGAGGAUGAUCAGCCACACUGGGACUGAGACACGGCCCAGACUCGUACGGGAGGGAGCAGUGGGGAAUAUUGGACAAUGGGCGAAAGCCUGAUCAAGCAAUGCGGCGUGAGUGAUGAAGGGCGUAGGGUUGUAAAGCUCUUUUACCCGGGAUGAUAAUGACAGUACCGGGAGAAUAAGCUCCGGCUAACUCCGUG
rnacentral:rRNA from 1 species